rnacentral:rRNA from 1 species
UACGAAGGGGGCUAGCGUUGCUCGGAAUCACUGGGCGUAAAGGGUGCGUAGGCGGGGCUUUAAGUCAGGGGUGAAAUCCUGGAGCUCAACUCCAGAACUGCCUUUGAUACUGAAGAUCUUGAGUUCGGGAGAGGUGAGUGGAACUGCGAGUGUAGAGGUGAAAUUCGUAGAUAUUCGGAGGAACACCAGUGGCGAAGGCGGCUCACUGGCUCGAUACUGACGCUGAGGUGCGAAAGCGUGGGGAGCAAACAGG